UGUUGAUAUAUUUUUAACCAAACAGUUAAUAUUAUUAUUUUUAAUUAAAUCACAAAAAAUAAUCCAUAUGUCUAAUCAUAUAUAAAUUAAAUAUGCUAUAUUUUAUAACAAAACAAAUUAGUCGUAUAGUAUAAUAACAUAUCAUAGUAAAUUUAUUGAUUCAAGAAUGUGUUUGUAAUCGUAAUCGAAAUAAGUAAAAGCAAUUUGUUGGAUAAAGGAGAUUUAGUGAUAGAGAUUUAUUAUAAAAUUUAAAUAGAGUUAAUUGAUAAUGUUUAAUUAUAUUUUCGUCAUUUCAAUCGUUUAUUAAUAAAUUAUUUUCCACUAUUGGGCGGAGAAGAAUCCGCUUAGAAAGGAGGAAGAGCUGGUCCAGGAUUAAGAGCGGGAGAAAAACCAGAUUCACGACUUAGAGGAGGAGGACGACAACAUUCACAAUGUUCACCAUCUGGAGUUGCUGGUUGUCCAUUAUCGCAAAUUGAGGGCGACUUCUUGUAUACUUUUGGAAAACAGCCUGGUGAACAAGGCGGUGUUUGUUGCGAAUUUAUUGAAAGUACACAGAAUAAUAAAACAUAACAUAAGAGAAGUAUAACAAAAUUUUGGGACUUCAUUCAGACACUUGCUUCUUAAACAGUAAUAGUCUAAAAUCACUGCCUGUUUGUCAUUUUGAAACUUUAUGAAUACGGUUGAGUUGAACAGUCGUCUGUCAACACUUCAAAUUACCGUUU